rnacentral:lncRNA from 1 species
CUCCCAGCCAGCAGGGGGCGCUGUGUGACAGUGAAACAGAGCAGACCCCGGGGAACUGUUGUGGUGUCCGGAAGAACGCUGCCGUGAGCUGUGUCUUCACAUACUAACGGCUGACUUCUCACUGCGCAGCUGCGAGCCGCCGCCGCUCCGCUGUCUGUCCGUCCGUCUGUCUGUCUGUCUGCACACGUCGUGACUUGUGACCCAGUUUGGUUUGGUUACCUAGACUGAGUGGGAUGAAACAUCAGGAGUCUGAACACGGACCAAAGAGGGUCACGUCUGAAUAAAGUGACUCUGAGUCAAAGAAGU